GACGAACGCUGGCGGCGUGCUUAACACAUGCAAGUCGAACGGAAAGGCCCUGCUUUUGUGGGGUGCUCGAGUGGCGAACGGGUGAGUAACACGUGAGUAACCUGCCCUUGACUUUGGGAUAACUUCAGGAAACUGGGGCUAAUACCGGAUAGGAGCUCCUGCUGCAUGGUGGGGGUUGGAAAGUUUCGGCGGUUGGGGAUGGACUGGCGGCUUAUCAGCUUGUUGGUGGGGUAGUGGCUUACCAAGGCUUUGACGGGUAGCCGGCCUGAGAGGGUGACCGGCCACAUUGGGACUGAGGUACGGCCCAGUAUGCAACGGGAGGCAGCAGUGGGAAAUAUUGCGCAAUGGGCGGAAGCCUGAUGCAGCAACGCCGCGUGCGGGAUGACGGCCUUCGGGUUGUAAACCGCUUUCGCCUGUGACGAAGCGUGAGUGACGGUAAUGGGUAAAGAAGCACCGGCUAACUACGUG
rnacentral:rRNA from 1 species